UACGUAGGGGGCAAGCGUUGUCCGGAUUUAUUGGGCGUAAAGAGCUCGUAGGCGGUUUGUCGCGUCUGCCGUGAAAGUCCGGGGCUCAACUCCGGAUCUGCGGUGGGUACGGGCAGACUAGAGUGAUGUAGGGGAGACUGGAAUUCCUGGUGUAGCGGUGAAAUGCGCAGAUAUCAGGAAGAACACCCGUGGCGAAGGCGGUUCUCUGGGACGGUACUGACGCUGAGACGCGAAAGCGUGGGGAGCGAACAGG
rnacentral:rRNA from 1 species